ACAUCUAACAGCUCCAAAGAUGGCUUCUGUUGGACUGAUGCGAUAUUCGGCCCAGUUCUUUAGAAGCCUACGACGAACAACAGAGACGGUGUCACCACUUCUUAGAGAGCAACUUAGACAGCUAGGAGUCUUGAGAACUCGUGGAAGAUACCGUGGGACAAGAGCCGUACCGGGGCACGGACAGCUGACCCAACCGUCGACUACUUCCUACCAGGUGUCCGUGCGGGAUCUGUGUACCGAGACAAGGUCAACAACAACAAUAACAACAACCUGUGAAGAGCAAACCACAGACCAACCCAGCGCGGCCAACACGUGUGACCUCCAUUACUUAUCAACCAACAUAAUUCUGGAGCGCUAUGUUAGCGCGCUUCUGUGUGCUUUCAUUUCUUAGCAGUCUAAGCUUGUUCUAGAUCAAAUCAUAAACAUAAUAAAUAACAAACAAGUUAUGUAUUAUUUUCAUAAACCUAGUUUCAUUUAUAUCACAACCUUAUUUUAACUCAAUAUUAAUCUCAAUAUAAACAUUGCAAAUGACUAUCUGAAUAUUGUGGUAUAGAAUUGAUCCAAUUUAAUUUUUACAACUGGAAACAAAUGGAGACUCAUUUUUGGCCAUUUCGUGUAACAUCUUCAACGUCACUAGAAUGAACAAACGAAUCUGUUGAAUCUGAACAAAAAAAUCUGUUGAAUCUGUUUAUCGGGCUUUCUAUUUUGUCAUUUUUCUUGACGUAAGCCAGCCAGUUAGGUGUUGACAAUACAAGAUACAAUAGAAAAGAGAAAUCCCGAUAAAAACGACUAAAAUAAUGUUUAAAAAAUAGCCGGAGCCUAACCUCUGCUUUGAGAGUAGUACUAUGUGAACCAGUCACAAUUAUCCUAAGGAAGGUGACAGACGGUCACCAAAACGUCGGUAUAGAGCAAUGGUUGUAAAACGAGUCUUCUGUAUCGUGAAUGUUAUGCUAUCCAGGUCUCGGCUGAAUUACUUAUUUCAAGAUGCAAUCCAUGAAUUUCGCUACUAUCUUUGUACGUCUCAGCUUUGCAUGAAAAUAAAUAAAUGGCUUGACUAGAGUA